UACGUAGGGAUCAAGCGUUGUUCGGAUUUACUGGGCGUAAAGGGCGCGUAGGCGGCAUAUUAAGUCAGCUGUGAAAUCUCCGAGCUUAACUCGGAACUGUCAGCUGAUACUGAUGUGCUAGAGUGCAGAAAGGGCAAUCAGAAUUCUUGGUGUAGCGGUGAAAUGCGUAGAUAUCAAGAGGAAUACCUGAGGCGAAGGCGGGUUGCUAGGCUGACACUGACGCUGAGGCGCGAAAGCCAGGGGAGCAAACGGG
rnacentral:rRNA from 1 species